rnacentral:lncRNA from 1 species
UCUCUCUCCCCAACUUUCCCCCAAAUUCCAAAAACUAGAAAACUCCAAUGCCUAAUCCAAUUUCUAUAUUGGACAUGUGAAAGACAAAAAAACCCUAAUUUCGUUGAUUCAGUUUUCAUUUCAGCCUCGUAUUACAUAUCUCUCUCUCUCUCUCUCUCUCUCUCUCUCUCUCCUUCCCCCCUUCUGACUGUCUAUAUCCAAUUUUUCCAAUCUCUCUCCGUCUCUCUCUCUCCCCGCGUUUUCUCAUUCUUCUUCUUUCUCACCGCCCACACACCGUUUUCCUCGAUCGAUCCGUCCCUUUUCUUCCGUUACAGGUUCGUUCAUCUUUCCCUUUUCCAUUUCCCAUUCCCUCCCAACCCGCGCCCUUUUUGUCUUCUUAUGAUCGGUCUUUAUUAGAGCUUCUGAUUAAUAUAUUCGUCUGAAUUGUUUCGUUUUUUUUGCAUGCCCGUUUGGUGAAUUAUACGAAUUUGUUUGUCUUUUAAACUUUUUCGUAAUCUUUUGAAUUUUGUAUUCUAGGGCUUGGGAUUUGUUGUUGUAGUUGAGGAAUUGCUAGAUUUGUGGAAUGGAGAAUGGAAUUCGUGUUUUGAUGCUAUGGGAGUGAGGAUGCCUGCAUUUGUGUGUGUAUUGGGUGAUGUUUGAGUUUAUACGUAUAUAGAGGUAUAUGAUUAUGUUUCUUUAGCUGAAGAAUUGGGAAGGGGGUUUGUCUAUGUGCGCAUUAUAGAUUGAUUGAUGAGAAUUAUUGUGUCAAAUUGGAAAUUUGAUCGGUACCUUUGCUGGUGGUGGGAGAUAUCAGUCACCCUGUGAUAUGAUUGAGGUGUACGCAAGCUGGCCCAGACACCAUCUCAUUAAAAAGGACGGGAAAUUUGAUAUAAGAAAUGGAUUGAGCGUUCUGGCAGUCAUUUGAAGAAGACCAAUUUUCACCUCUUUUUUGCUGUGUCAUUCUAUCUGAUAGUAAAUUAUAAGGGAAUGUUGGUUUCCAUAGUUUAGAGUGCUAUCUUGUUUUUGGUCAAUUGAGUGCUUUUUUGUUUUAGCUCGCAUAGAUGCAACCAUGCUAGGGAUUGUAAAUUUGCAACAGGUACUAUAAGUUGCAAGCAGGUUUACUUUUAGUAAUACAUUUGAAAGAUAAAUCAUGGUGACAGGUGAUUUAUUCUUAGCCGUGGUGCAUAGGGAAGUAUAUUUGCUUCUAUAAAAAUAGAAAAAGAAAUGUUUACGGAACUUACUAGAGUAAAUGCAAGAUAACAGACAGCCACUUUGGGGAUGUGGAGACUAUUCAUUUCCUCUUAAGAUCUGAUUCUACGGUUGUAACACAGUUUGGUGUUUUUGAUUAUAAUGUUGAAGUCAGUAUGUAUAUUGCUUCAGUGUGCUUUUCAUUUCUUCGAAGCUCAUGUGCAUAUGGCAGAGGACAAGAAAGGAAUCACGGAUAAUUGCUAAUUACUUAGAAAAGGACAAAAAGAAAAGGAUAAUUGCUAAUAUUGAUUUUGACUAGAGGUAAAGCCAAUCCUGUGCACAUCUUCAGAGUCUUCUGCCAAUGAAAUAUGUAGGCAGUUUGACUUGAUAUAAAGUCAUAUGUUGACGUUUUUAAUAGCUCAAUCUAGAUUGUUAUACACACACAUUUUUUGGAGAGAGAGAGAAUUUUUUGACCUAUUCAUUGAGGAAUUUGUAAAUGCCUGUAAGAAAGUGAGUGUGAGGAUUUACGACAUGCUACGUUUUCUAAUUAUAGAAGUGGCAAGGGCAUGCUUUGGUUUGAUUUUGGUGUACCUGUUAUUGCAAAGGAUAUUCUGGAAAAAAUAAAAGUGAAACAUUAUCAAUCCCUCGUAUGUGCUUGUUUAAUGAAGUGUUAAAUAAUGACAUGGACUUUACAGAUAAAAUAAAUAAGGACUUUGACCAUGCACGAGAUUCACAUUGGUCGUCCCUCAGGUGUAUCCUUUCAGUUUGCUGUUUGUAUUUGUAAACAUGAUUAUAAUUUAAAUUCUGAAAACCAAAAAAAUUUAAAAAAUAAUUGUAAUUUAAUCAAUCGCUCCGCAGUUCUUAGUUUUGAGGGGAAAAUCCACAUUCCUGAAACUUCCUCUGUACAGCGCAUUUAAGUGUCUUUUCUGUUGUUAAGCUAUGCUUCUAAAUCGAGCGAGAAUAGUAUAAAUCAGUGUCUGCAUAUGGCAUAUUUUAAGGUUGAAUUUGUAACAACACGAGGAUGGUGCUUGAGUAUUAAAUAUGUGAGCUCUUAAUACUAGUCUACCAUUCUAAAGCACUUUAUCUAGUUUUUGAUCCAUUUACGACAUUGUUGGGGCUCAUGUUAUAAGUUGUGACUGAUCUUGCCAACUGGGGGGUGCUAGUUAAGGGAUUUGGACAAGCCUGUAUUAGCAUAUAAUAAGGCUAUUCCUUUGAGUAAGUUUGGUAGCUCCUUUUUCUGAGAGACCAAAGUGGGCAUUAUAAUUUUCCACUAGAAGAUGGUGAAGUAGUUUAUUUGUUCUAACUUCUACCAGCUAGUUAUGAUAGUUACUGCACGAUUUUAUUGCCUGCGAUUGUAUGUAUGCUUCUUAUUUUUAGUUAAUUAUUUUCACUAUUUUCUGCGGGAGUCACUAAUGCUUUUUGUUUUU